GUGCAGUGAAGUACCAAUUAUUCAAGAUGAGCAGAAGCCAAAGAAACAAAAACAGUGUUUGAAAUGGUUCCUGUAUGCUAUUGUUGGUGUACUUGUCUUCACCCUUGUGCUGCUCAGUAAGACAUCAUUUCUGAUUUUGAUAUCAUUUGGGAACAAUCAAACUGAUAUUAUAUGUUCAGAACAAAAAACAACAGUCCUACUUGGCAUUGGCUUCAUUCUGGUUGGACCGAGUGUUCUUCUACUGCUAAAGAGCACAUGGAAGUUCAUUUUCAAGAGUUCAACCAUGCCCUCUAAAAAAACUAUUUUUUGGGUUCUGGGUUGUGAGUUCCUGGUAGGACUGGGAGCUGCAGUUCUAACAAUAGUAGCCAUGCCACACUUUGACAUUGUCACCAAUGUGAUGAUUCUAAACAGUGUGAGCAUCCUGUCCGCAGUGUUCCAGGUGGUCGCUGAUUGCCUUGCCAAAGAGAGAAAGUGGCUCAUAAUGGUCCCUGUAUGCUCCAUUUUCUUAAUCGUCACAGGUUAUGUGCUCUUUGCCAUCAAUUAUUUGGCAUUCGAAAGUUCCUUAGAGACAAAAAUAUCAGUUGGCCUUGCCAUUGGUGGAACCAUCUGUGUUUCUGUGAACUGGUGGGAGAGCUAUAGCACGCUCUUUAAUGUGUCAUUUCUAA